rnacentral:misc_RNA from 1 species
GAUGAAGAACGUAGCGAAAUGCGAUAAGUAGUGUGAAUUGCAGAAUUCAGUGAGUCAUCGAAUCUUUGAACGCACAUUGCGCCCUUUGGUAUUCCUUAGGGCAUGCCUGUUCGAGCGUCAUUUAAACCUUCAAGCUCAGCUUGGUGUUGGGUGACUGUCCGCUUCACCGCGGACUCGCCUCAAAAUUAUUGGCGGCCGGUACAUUGGCUUCGAGCGCAGCAGAAACGCGAACUCGGGCCCGUCGUAUUGGCUCCCAGAAGCUAUCUUCACAAUUUUGACCUCGGAUCAGGUAGGGAUACCCGCUGAACUUAAGCAUAUCAAUAAGCGGAGGA